rnacentral:rRNA from 1 species
AUUGAACGCUGGCAGCAGGCCUAACACAUGCAAGUCGAGCGGCAGCGGAAAGUAGCUUGCUACUUUGCCGGCGAGCGGCGGACGGGUGAGUAAUGUCUGGGAAACUGCCUGAUGGAGGGGGAUAACUACUGGAAACGGUAGCUAAUACCGCAUAACGUCGCAAGACCAAAGAGGGGGACCUUCGGGCCUCUUGCCAUCAGAUGUGCCCAGAUGGGAUUAGCUAGUAGGUGGGGUAACGGCUCACCUAGGCGACGAUCCCUAGCUGGUCUGAGAGGAUGACCAGCCACACUGGAACUGAGACACGGUCCAGACUCCUACGGGAGGCAGCAGUGGGGAAUAUUGCACGAUGGGCGCAAGCCUGAUGCAGCCAUGCCGCGUGUAUGAAGAAGGCCUUCGGGUUGUAAAGUACUUUCAGCGGGGAGGAAGGCGUUGAGGUUAAUAACCUCAGCGAUUGACGUUACCCGCAGAAGAAGCACCGGCUAACUCCGUGCCAGCCGCCGCGGUAA